UACGGGGGGGGGCAAGCGUUGUUCGGAAUUACUGGGCGUAAAGGGCUCGUAGGUGGCCAACUAAGUCGGACGUGAAAUCCCCGGGCUUAACCUGGGAACUGCGUUUGAAACUACAAGGCUAGAGUGUGGCAGAGGGGGGUGGAAUUCCACGUGUAGCAGUGAAAUGCGUAGAGAUGUGGAGGAACACCGAUGGCGAAGGCAGCCCCCUGGGCUGAGAUUGACGCUCAGGCACGAAAGCGUGGGGAGCAAACAGG
rnacentral:rRNA from 1 species